rfam:Dipodomys ordii contig_50716, whole genome shotgun sequence.
GGGAAUGUGGCUCAGCAGUAGAGUGCUUGCCUUGCAUGCAUGAGACCCUGGGUUCGAUUCCUCAGUACCA